rnacentral:rRNA from 1 species
GAUGAACGCUGACAGAAUGCUUAACACAUGCAAGUCUACUUGAACUUCGGUUUGGGUGGCGGACGGGUGAGUAACGCGUAAAGAACUUGCCUCACAGAUAGGGACAACAUUUGGAAACGAAUGCUAAUACCUGAUAUUAUGAUUUUAGGGCAUCCUAGAAUUAUGAAAGCUAUAUGCACUGUGAGAGAGCUUUGCGUCCCAUUAGCUAGUUGGAGAGGUAACGGCUCACCAAGGCGAUGAUGGGUAGCCGGCCUGAGAGGGUGAUCGGCCACAAGGGGACUGAGACACGGCCCCUACUCCUACGGGAGGCAGCAGUUGGGAAUAUUGGACAAUGGACCAAGAGUCUGAUCCAGCAAUUCUGUGUGCACGAUGAAGUUUUUCGGAAUGUAAAGUGCUUUCAGUUGGGAAGAAAAAAAUGACGGUACCAACAGAAGAAGAGACGGCUAAAUACGUG